rnacentral:rRNA from 1 species
GACAGAGGGUGCAAACGUUGUUCGGAAUUACUGGGCGUAAAGCGCGUGUAGGCGGCUCUGCAAGUCGGAUGUGAAAUCCCACGGCUCAACCAUGGAAGUGCAUUCGAAACUGCAGGGCUAGAGUUCUGGAGAGGAAGGUGGAAUGCUUGGUGUAGAGGUGAAAUUCGUAGAUAUCAAGCGGAACACCGGUGGCGAAGGCGGCCUUCUGGACAGUAACUGACGCUGAGGCGCGAAAGCGUGGGGAGCAAACAGG